rnacentral:rRNA from 1 species
GGGAAACCGAGUCUGAAUAGGGCGAUAGUUGCAGGGUGUAGACCCGAAACCGGAUGAGCUAUCCAUGGCCAGGAUGAAGGUGCAGUAACAUGCACUGGAGGUCCGAACCGACUAAUGUUGCAAAAUUAGCGGAUGAGCUGUGGAUAGGGGUGAAAGGCUAAACAAAUCCGGAGAUAGCUGGUUCUCCUCGAAAACUAUUUAGGUAGUGCCUCGUGGUUAACACUUCUUGGGGUAGAGCACUGUUAUGGCUAGGGGGUUAUUGCAACUUACCAAACCAUGGCAAACUCCGAAUACGAGAAAGUGAUACACGGGAGACAGACAUCUGGUGCUAACGUCAGGUGUCGAAAGGGAAACAACCCAGACCGCCAGCUAAGGUCCCAAAUGAUCAAUUAAGUGGUAAACGAUGUGGGAAGGCAUAGACAGCUAGGAUGUUGGCUUAGAAGCAGCCAUCAUUUAAAGAAAGCGUAAUAGCUCACUAGUCAAGUCGUCCUGCGCGGAAGAUGUAACGGGGCUAAAUUGAUAACCGAAGCUGCGGAUAGAACUUAGGUUCUAUGGUAGAGGAGCGUUCUGUAGGCCAAUGAAGGUGUCUUGAGAAGGAUGCUGGAGGUAUCAGAAGUGCGAAUGCUGACAUGAGUAGCGUUAAAGCGGGUGAAAAGCCCGCUCGCCGAAAGUCCAAGGUUUCCUACGCAACGUUAAUCGGCGUAGGGUGAGUCGGCCCCUAAGGUGAGGCAGAGAUGCGUAGCCGAUGGGAAACAGGUUAAUAUUCCUGUACCGAUGUAUAGUGCGAUGUGGGGACGGAGAAGGUUAGGUUAGCCAACUGUUGGAAAUGUUGGUUUAAGCGUGAAGGUGUGUAUCUUAGGCAAAUCCGGGAUACUAUAACACUGAGGCGUGAUGACGAGGUGCUACGGCACUGAAGUAAUUGAUACCAUGCUUCCAGGAAAAGCCACUAAGCUUCAGCUAUAUAUUGACCGUACCGCAAACCGACACUGGUGGACGAGAUGAGUAUUCUAAGGCGCUUGAGAGAACUCUGGAGAAGGAACUCGGCAAAUUGAUACCGUAACUUCGGGAGAAGGUAUGCCCCAAGUAGGUGAACCUGUACAAGGCGAGCCCAAAGGGGUUGCAAAAAAUCGGUGGCUGCGACUGUUUAAUAAAAACACAGCACUCUGCAAACACGAAAGUGGACGUAUAGGGUGUGACGCCUGCCCGGUGCUGGAAGAUUAAAUGAUGGGGUGCAAGCUCUUGAUUGAAGUCCCAGUAAACGGCGGCCGUAACUAUAACGGUCCUAAGGUAGCGAAAUUCCUUGUC